UACGUAGGGGCAAGCGUUGUCCGGAAUCAUUGGGCGUAAAGAGCGUGUAGGCGGCUCGAUAAGUCUGCUGUGAAAAGUCCAGGGCUCAACCCUGGAAGGCCGGUGGAAACUGUCGGGCUAGAGUCCGGAAGAGGCGAGUGGAAUUCCCGGUGUAGCGGUGAAAUGCGCAGAUAUCGGGAGGAACACCAAGGCGAAGGCAGCUCGCUGGGACGGUACUGACGCUGA
rnacentral:rRNA from 1 species